rnacentral:misc_RNA from 1 species
AAACUCCACUUCCGUUCCUUGAAAGUCUUCCAAAGUUUUAUGCUUACGAACAGCUAGCAAAGGCAACAGGGGACUUCACCAACAACAACCGAAUUGGUGUGGGUGGUUGUGGUCAAGUUUUUCGGGGAAAACUUCCAGGUGCUAAAGUGGUUGCGAUUAAGAAGCUUAAUUAUAGUGCUGGACAGGAUGAAUUGGAAGGGGGGCAAGCUCAAUUUGAGACUGAGAUUAAAACCAUUAGCGGCAUCCGUCACCGGAAUCUUGUAGGG